rnacentral:rRNA from 1 species
CACCCGCAGCUCGAGUGGUGGUCACUUUUAUUGAGCCUAAAGCGUUUGUAGCCGGUUUUGCAAAUCUUCAGAUAAAUUCCUCUGCUUAACAGAUGAUCUUCUGAAGAGACUGCGAGACUUGGGACCGGGUGAGGUUGAAGGUACUUCCGGGGUAGGGGUAAAAUCCUGUAAUCCUGGAAGGACGACCGGUGGCGAAGGCGUUCAACUAGAACGGAUCCGACGGUGAGGAACGAGGGCUAGGGUAGCAAACCGGAUUAGAUACCCGGGUAGUCCUAGCUGUAAACACUGCCCACUUGGUGUUGCCCCUCCGAUGAGGGGAGGCAGUGCCGGAGCGAAGGUGUUAAGUCUGCCGCUUGGGGAGUACGGUCGCAAGACUGAAACUUAAAGGAAUUGGCGGGAGAGCACCGCAACGGGAGGAGCGUGCGGUUCAAUUGGAUUCAACGCCGGAAAACUCACCGGAGGCGACGGAGGGAUGAAAGCCAGGCUGAAGACCUUGCCCGAUUCUCCGAGAGGUGGUGCAUGGCCGUCGUCAGUUCGUACCGUAAGGCGUUCUGUUAAGUCAGAUAACGAACGAGACCCUCGCCGUUAGUCGCGAUCUUACAAGCGAUUGUAGGAGCACACUAGCGGGAUCGCUGCCGUUAAGGCAGAGGAAGGAGAGGUCUACGGUAGGUCCGUAUGCCCCGAAUCUUCCGGGCAACACGCGCGCUACAAAGGUGGGGACAAUGGGACCCGACCUCGAAAGGGGGAGGCAAUCCUGAAACCCCAUCGUAGUCUGGAUCGAGGGCUGUAACUCGCCCUCGUGAAAAUGGAUUCCGUAGUAAUCGCGGGUCAACAUCCCGCGGUGAAUGUGCCCCUGCUCUU